rnacentral:pre_miRNA from 1 species
AUAAUACUCCCUCCGUCCGAAAUUACUUGUCAUCAAAAUGGAUGUGUCUAGAACUAAAAUACAUCUAGAUACAUCCAUUUCAAUGACAAGCAUUUUCGGACGGAGGGAGUAGUAG